rnacentral:lncRNA from 1 species
UACCGUCCGUACCAUUCUCCCAAUGCGUCUCUCACUUCAACCUGAGCUUCAUCUCCUCAUCCCUUUCAUUACCCAAGCCUCUCUAAGCCUUCAUAUCAACUCCUCAUCUCAACACCUCUUAAGUUAUUUACAGCCAUUAGAUAUAGGUUUAUGAUGUCUCAGAUUGUAAAAGUCUAUAUAAACAGAUGUAUAUGGCGAUUUGUAACUCUUAAGAGAGUUAGGGGGAUUUCCCCUUCUCCUUCAUAGUCUUUGGUUACUUUGAAUCUCCCAAUCUCUAUUCUCUGGUUACCUAAUCUCUCAAUCUCUCUAAUCUCUCAAUCUCUCACCCAAAGUCUCUUAAUCUCACACCAUUCUUAUUCUUCCAUCAGUCUCUUUGUUAUUCUCUUCCAUUGUUGAACAAGACUCAGUCCCAACCUGUGGAGGUUGAUUCACCACGCCCACACAACCUGUGCUCUGAAAAUCUCACAUGGUAUCAGAGCCAGGUUCAUCAGAACUUGGU